ensembl:lncRNA
GCAGAGCAGAGGUCUUCCAGUGCUAGAGCUCAUGGGCUCUCUGAUUCUGUUGUCCCCACACCAGCAGCAGUAAUAUUUUAGACCCAUUCAGGGCCCUGUGCUAAGAGCCGGAGACAGUCUCAAUGCCUACUAUAGGUCCUGUCUGCUGAGGUCAAGAGUGUGAGGAAGGAAGUGAAUGCGCAUCCUGAUGGAGACACCUGAGACUGAAGAAAUCAGCGCUGAUCCUCGCCCACCCCAUCUUGUCUCACUUAGUGCUGGGCUCCGCUGCCCACCUGUGGUCUGAGAUGGGAGGACAGGGAGGUGAGCGCCGGCCCCUCCCUGCUCUGCUCCUGAAGUCCUUACCAUGACUACAAAUUUGCUAUUCACACAGGCUAAAUCACCAAAAAAGGUUUGUAUAGACAAAGCUACGACUUUUCCAGUAGUCAUGUAUGGAUGUGAGAGUUGGACUCUAAAGAAAGCUGAGGGAUGAAGAAUUGAUGCUUUUGAACUGUGGUGUUGGAGAAGACUCUGGAGAGUCCCUUGGACUGCAAGGAGAUCCAACCAGUCAGUCCUAAAGGAAGUCAGUCCUGAGUAUUCAUUGGAAGGACUGAUGCUGAAGCUGAAACUCCAAUACUUUGGCCACCAGAUGUGAAAGACUGACUCAUUUGAGAAGACCCUGAUGCUGGGAAAGAUUGAGGGCAGGAGGAGAAGGGGAUGACAGAAGAUGAGAUGGUUGGAUGGCAUCACCAACUCGAUAGACAUGAGUUUGAGCAGACUCCAGGAGUUGGUGAUGGACAGGGAUGCCUGACAUGCUGCAGUCCAUGGGGUCGCAAAGAAUCGGACACGACUGAGUGACUGAACUGAACUGAGCUGAAUUCAUCACCCAUUCUGUAUCCUUGAUCCUUGACAAGAGUCAUUCCCUGAGUCCUUUUAUCAGGGCUUUCGAAAUAUCUCUUAGCUCUAUAUUCUCUUCCCAGUGUGCUCUCCUUAGUUCUGGGAUUCCUCAGAUACUGCCCAGAUCAUUCCUGUGGCUCCCUAGCACUUUUCCUGUCCUUCUGAUAUCUUUUGUCCUUCUGUCCUGCUGAUCCUCUCUGAACCAUUCUCAACACUGCAGCCAAGUUAUUUUAUGAAAACUGAAUGAAUCUAAUUGUCUUAUCCCUUGCUACUACUUCUCAUGUUUUCUCCAUACUGACGAUAAAAGUCCAAACUCUUUAGAGUGGCAUGCGUCUUUGUGUUGUUUGCAAAGGACAUAAGUUGACUCCCCCCGAAAAGAAAGAGUAUUUAUUAAAAGUUACCAAGUGGUAACACAUAGCACACAGAGGCAGGAAGCACACCUGAAGAACCUUGCUCACAAGCCAGGUGCUAUCAUGUCUCUGCUUCUCUCUGAGCACGUGUUCUAUCAUCUUGUUUCUCUCUGCAGACCUGUGAGCUCUACUUCAGGAAGCACAUGGUGGAG